UUUCCAUCAAAAAGCAGACACAACAAAGUCAUUAAAAGCCUGAAUUUUCCACUGGCUUGGAGUUUCGAUGUUCUUCCGGCUCAGAGAGGAGUGAGAGCCUCCGGGGGACCAGCCACGUGUCGCAGCGCUAUCAACUUUCUGCUCUGAGGGCCGUGCUCACUGGACAUUUGCUGAAGGACAUACAGCCACGUUUGGCCCAAGCAGCUCAUGUAGUGCCUUUUCAAAUAAGACCUGGUGAAGGGAAAGGCAUCUGGAGGGGAGGCACCAGGUGUCCAGUGAGAAUGGAGCCUACAGGGCUGACACAGGCUGUCAGAAAUUGAUCCAUUUUCUGGGCCUAGAGGAGAAGAGGGCUCAUCAUAGGGUGCCCCCUGCCGUGGCUGGCCUGCUGGGAGGGAGCCAUCCUUUAACACUUCUUGGAACAUGACCCCACCCUUCGGAAGGAGAGUAUCACGCGCUCAGCUGCCUGCCUCACCUG